GUCUCAUCUACCUGAAGCCCACCAUCAGCCAAUCGCACACGUGUCCAGAGCUCUGCAGGUGGAAGCAGCCGGCGCAGAGGCCGUAGGUGAAAGGGAUGGUUCAUUCUGUUGCACAGACUUUCAAUGGAGUUUUUAAUCUCCUGGAAAUCUGUUUGUAUCUGUUUUAUGGAUUCCAUUUGUUUCCUAUGUUGGGAUUCCAUCAUGUUCCUCAGCUCCUCUAUUUUUUUUUAAUCUGUGUCUGCUCUAGACUUAUUAAUCAUGUCUUGCAGAAUGGACACAGUCUCUGUUGUUAUCUGAGAAAUUAUUUCUGAUUUCACUUUUUCCAGAUCCUCUUUCAUUGCCAGUUCAGGGGGUCCAGGUGGUUGAGUAUCAGAUUCUUCCAUGUCAUUGCCCUUUGGGGUUGCCUUAGGUGAUCUGGAAGUCUGGUUUUGAGACUUAUGUGUCUUGUUGUUUCAACAGAUGCAGCCUGCUUCACUUUUGUUGUGGUGACUUUGUGCUCGCCCAGUGGUCUUCAAUUCUCAAUAAGCCACCAAGAGGCAUUUUCUCUGCUGCUCACCACCGCACCAAUUCCUGGGUUCAGAAUGGUGGCCUUCUGGAUCCAAGACUGCCCUAUUUUCCGUGUGGGGUUCUGGCUGGGGCCUAUGCACACUUGGGUGGGCCUCUGGGUGUUGCUUGUGCAUCUGUGAAGCUCUUUUACAGGUGGGUCUUUGGCUAGGGACCAUGGGGCCAAGCUGCUGGGGUCUGGGCGGGGCCCUGCCCAGCGCAGCUCUGGUCCAUGUGGGCCUCUGGCUGUUGCUUGUGCACAUGUGCAGCUCUUUUCAGGGCAGGGCCCUCGCUAGGAUCUGCAUGUCCCAGCACAGUUCUGGUCCAUGCAGGUUUCUCACUGGGAUAUGCGUGCAUCUCUUAAUUCACUUUUGAGAACUCUGUGGAGUUUUCAUGCAUAGAAUUGAAUACAGAAGCAGAAGAAACCACCAUAAGCCUGUACUGCUGCUGGUAUUCCAGCAUCCUAAGCCCAAACAGCACCCCUUGGUAGUAAGUCCAAAAGUUGUUAAACAGGUAGGUCAUUAAAAGAGGAAUAUCUGUAUACCACUGUCCAAUUAAAGAACCCUUGGCUCUCAAAAACUCCUCCUAGAAGCAUCAGUUUAUCAGAGAGAGCGUCAGUCUGAGUGGCUUUGUCUAUAAAAGCACCCCUGUCCUGCCUCAAACAAUACUGAACUACUCUUAAACACUGGUUAUGUAAAAUCAGGUCAUGUAUGGUUGUUACAUGAAAUUGCAGGACAGUAAAACUAAGUGCCUGAAACAGCAAUAGCCAAUCCAAUGCUUAGAUAAGACCACAGCA
rnacentral:lncRNA from 1 species